rnacentral:pre_miRNA from 1 species
CAUAUACUCCCUCCGUCCAACAAAAAAGAUGUCUCAAGUUUGUUAAAAUUUGAAUGUAUUUAGACAUAACUUAGUGCAUAGAUGCAUUCAAAUUUAGUCAGAGAUCUUUUGUUGGACGGAGGAAGUAGGAG